GUCCACGCCUUAAACGAUGACAACUAGACGUUGGGGGGCAUAUGGCCCACAGUGUCGCAGCUAACGCGUUAAGUUGUCCGCCUGGGGAGUACGGCCACAAGGUUGAAACUCAAAGGAAUUGACGGGGACCCGCACAAGCGGUGGAGCAUGUGGUUUAAUUCGAUGCAACGCGAAGAACCUUACCUGGCCUUGACAUGUCUGGAAUCCCGAAGAGAUUUGGGAGUGCCGCAAGGAACCAGAACACAGGUGCUGCAUGGCUGUCGU
rnacentral:rRNA from 1 species